rnacentral:rRNA from 1 species
AAUUGGGAUGGCCGGACGUGGUUUUGAGGCAACGUGAUUUCUGCCCAGUGCUCUGAAUAUCGAAGUGAAGGUGUUCAACAAAG